GGGGGCGUAACGGUUUCGACGGGGUUCGAUGACGGAAUGGCGGCAGGCCGAGUUACGCUCUUGGCAGACUCGUAAAACGGCUAGAGCACAUCGUUUAAGUGCGAACGACAACUAUGCACUGGCUGCGUAAUUAAACGCGGCCCGUCCGCUCCGGUAGGCCGACAGACCGGAAUCCGGGCGUCGACUUAAUCGGCUGGUCCAAGAGCCUCUUCUCGUGGGCUUGAGGAUGAGACCUUUUGCGAGAUAAGCGGCGCCGCAGUUUUGUCCGGCGGCAGCGGCGCCGCCGACAAUCCUUCACCGGACUAUGCCUGUAGAUGCCAUUUCGGCAAGUUCACCGGACGCGGGUUCGACUCCCGCCGCCUCCACCA
rnacentral:tmRNA from 1 species